AUACGGAGGGUGCAAGCGUUACUCGGAAUCACUGGGCGUAAAGCGCGCGCAGGCGGCUUGAUAAGUUGGAUGUGAAAGCCUACGGCUCAACCGUAGAACUGCAUCCAAAACUGUCAGGCUAGAGUGUGGGAGAGGAAGAUGGAAUUAGUUGUGUAGGGGUAAAAUCCGUAGAGAUAGCUAGGAAUACCAAAAGCGAAGGCAAUCUUCUGGAACACUACUGACGCUGAGGCGCGAAGGCGUGGGGAGCAAACAGGAUUAGAUACCCGGGUAGUCC
rnacentral:rRNA from 1 species